CACGGGGGGAGCAAGCGUUGUUCGGAAUCACUGGGCUUAAAGGGCGCGUAGGUGGUUUGCCAAGUCGGGGUUGAAAUCUUUCGGCUUAACCGGAAAAGUGGCUUCGAUACUGGCAAGCUGGAGGGAGGUAGGGGCGGAUGGAACUUCCGGUGGAGCGGUGAAAUGUGUUGAUAUCGGAAGGAACGCCGGUGGCGAAAGCGAUCCGCUGGACCUCUUCUGACACUGAGGCGCGAAAGCCAGGGGAGCAAACGGG
rnacentral:rRNA from 1 species